GGUGGCAGUGGAGAUGGCUACAAUGGAUUUGGUAAUGAUGGUGGUUAUGGAGGAGGCGGCCCUGGUUACUCUGGAGGAAGCAGAGGUUAUGGAAGUGGUGGACAGGGUUAUGGAAACCAGGGCAGUGGCUAUGGCGGGAGUGGCAGCUAUGACAGCUAUAACAACGGAGGAGGCGGAGGCGGCUUUGGCGGUGGUAGUGGAAGCAAUUAUGGAGGUGGUGGAAGCUAUAAUGAAUUUGGC